CCCCCGAGUAGAAGAGUGGAUGGAGUCUGCCUCCCAAUGCAGGGAACAUGGGUUCCAUCUUGCUCUGGGAAGACUCCACAGGCCCGGAGCAGCUGAGCCCCUGUACCAACUGGGCUUCCCUGGUGGCUCAGACAGUAAAGCAUCUGCUGUAAUGCAGGAGACCUGGGUUCGACCCCUGGGUCGGGAAGAUCCCCUGGAGAAGGAAAUGGCAGCCCACUCCAGUACUCUUGCCUGGAAAAUUCCAUGGAUGGAGGGGCCUGGUAGGCUACAGUUCAUGGGCUCCCAAAGAGUUGGACACGACUGAGCAACUUCACUGGUUCACCACAAUACUGAACCCCCUCUCCCCACUCUAGACCGACUCCCGGCAACUAGAGAAGCCCCCCCUGUGCAGCAACAAAGGCUCAGAGCAGCCAAAAAUAAAUAAAUAAAUGAGUAGUGAAGGUAUAGACAGCCAGAUGGAAGCCAGCUCUCCUGACAGCUAGACAAGCCCUUUCCUCCAAGUCAGUCUUCUUUCCAAGACUUGCUGGGUGUGGCUGCUCCAGCAAGCUGGUUCACUUAGGUGAACCCUCUCCCUCUCCCCUCAAAGAAUUUUAAUACUAACGUUAACAUGCUGUUUGUUUCCCAGCAUUUCGGGAUGAUUGUAAUGAGAGAUAAAGCCAACUACUCUGCGUGGGAAGUAGGAGUCCAGACUGGGGGGCUCCUCCCCCAGCACACGUCGGCAGCUAGUCCCGGGUACCAAGUGCUUUUCCUCCGCCCACCCGGCGUCCAGACUCCCCUGCUUUGUUCUAUAAACUACUUUUUCUCCAUUCUUCAUUUCGUACCCCUGGACUCACCAGCACACGGGCCUCUUUCUCUCCGCUGACCUCUGGUACCACUACAGGGUCCGAAAAGGAAACAGAAAACGACCGGAGUGUUGGGAGCUUACAUAACCCAGGGCGGGACUCGACAAACCCUCGGAAGAUCACCCCUCCCCUCUAACUCUGGCUUAAAGGGAAGAAAUGCUGUUCGUGGAUUAAAAAAAAAAAAAAAAAGCAGAAUGAAGAAAUUUAUGGGCAGGUUGGGAGAGAAGUGAGCUGCAUUUAGGUUUUUGGUUCUCAAACUGCUCAACAAUGAACAUCUGCAGGCGGCAGGCUGUGGAAACGCGGAUCUGCCCGGGUCCGCGGAAAUUCCCAGUCGUUGGUCCGAAGGGAGAUCCCGGAACCCGACUUAUUUCAAGCACCCUCUGGGUCGACUCUGAAUAGGAAGAUGCUUUUCCGAGCCGCCGAGCCCACGGGGCCGCUCUUGAAUUCUAGCAUCCAAGUACAUUCCCCGCCGCCUCGCGUCGCCUCCGGAAGGAAAGCGCCCGCCGCGGAGCUGGCCUUCGGAACCCCGUCAGCCCACGCCAGAGGAAAGCGAAACCUCAGCAUCCAGGAAAACAUACACACACCGAGGUUCUGUCAACGUUAGGGAGGAAACUAGACCCAGAGUGACAAUAGCUGCAGAGCCGUGCGGUGCUUCACCCUUUAGAAAUGCCAGAGAGAGCUCUGACUUGGGCUUUGGUCCUUGACCAGUCCCAGAUCUGUCUUUUAUUCAAAGUUUGCCAUAAUUGUUUGAUAUCUCUCUGAAUGCAUUAAGGAGAUGGCUGUUUUUGUUACUGCCUAACCGCUCCAAAAUCACUGCAGAUGGUGAUUGCAGCCAUGAAAUUAAAAGACGCUUACUCCUUCGAAAGAAAGUUUUGGCCACUCUAGAUAGCAUAUUAAAAAGCAGAGACAAUACUUUGCCAACAAAGGUCCAUCUAGUCAAGGCUAUGGUUUUUCCAGUGGUCAUGUAUGGAUGUGAGAGUUGGACUGUGAAGAAAGCUGAGUGCCGAAUGAUUGAUGCUUUUGAUCUAUGGUGUUGGAGAAGACUCUAGAAAGUCCCUUGGACUGCAAGGAGAUCCAACCAGUCCAUUUUAAAGGCGAUAAGUCCUGUGUGUUCAUUGGAAGGACUGAUGCUGAAGCUGAAACUCCAAUACUUUGGCCACCUCAUGUGAAGAGUUGACUCAUUGGAAAAGACCCUGAUGCUGGGAGGGAUUGGGGGCAGGAGCAGAAGGGGAAGACAGAGGAUGAGAUGGCUGGAUGGCAUCACCGACUUGUUGGGCAUGAGUUUGAGUAAACUCCGGGAGUUGGUGAUGGACAGGGAGGCCUGGCGUGCUACGAUUCUUCAUACGCGAAGAGUAGGACAUGACUGAGUGACUGAACUGAACUGAAACACUGGGGAGUAAAUGCCCCAGUCUCUCCCUCCAGAUGUGCAAGGCAUAGCUCUCAGCAAAAAGACAAGGUGUCUUGUUUCUUUUGUUUACCUAACCAAAAGACUCAUUUCAAAGUGAUUUAUAUUUUAAAAAUCAACUUUGAAAGUACAUACUUUACAUAAAACACCUAUUUGAAACACAUAGCUGGUUGUGUUUUGCCAAUUGACAUGCCCAUGUCACCACGAUGAAGAUGUAGAACUAUUGUUGUUAAGUCGCUAAGUUGUGUGGAGCUCUUUGCGACCCCAUGCACUGUAGCCUGCCAGGUUCCUCUGUUCAUGAGAUUUUCCAGACAAGAAUACUAGAGUGGGUUGCCAUUUCUUCUCCAGGGGAUCUUCCCAAACCAUGGGUCGAACCUGGGUCUCCUGCAUUGGUGAGUGGGUUCUUCACUACUGAGCCACCAGAGAAGCCCCAGAGUCACCUAGGGUGGAAUCAAAUUCCCUCAAAGAAAUAUCAUUAAGAGAAAAUCGUUGUGACACUUCUAAGCCCACACAAAUGCUCAAACAAACCAACACCAGAAAACCAAAAUGCUAGUUCAGAUGAGAUCUCUGAAACUGGCCGUAAUUCUUUGUGGGAUGUGUUAGGUAGAAAUGAUAACUCUAUUUAGGGCUAUAGCUCAGUAGCCCCUACAUCCCGGGAGCCUCAGAAAAGACCCUGGAUCUUCAGCUGCCCACAGUGAGGUCAUUCCUGGGGCAAAAGUAGAAUCUUCUUGAAUUUGGAGGAUUUUACAUUUACUCAGUGCCACUGUGGAUGUUGAUUUCUUCUUUGAACAUUUUGGAGUUAAUUUGCUUUGACUCUAAAUGAGAACCGCAAACAGGAAACCAGGAACUGGUCUUGAACCAUCGCCCCACGACGAUGACUCAUGCAAAAAUCCUAAGAGUUUUUGAGCCAAUGAAAUCCAUGGUUAGAUAAACAGUAAAUUCUCCUUUUCAACACAUUUCAGAUAUCCCAGCUUGCCUAGUAAUGUUCUAACUUGAACCCCAAACUUAACAUUUAAAAUUUAUAUUUUUGUUGGCACUGAUUUUUAUUUUUAUUAAAAAAAUGGUUUAUUUAUUUAUUCGUGGCUGUGCUGGGUCUUUAUUGCUGCAUGGGCUUUUCUCGAGUUGUGAUGAGCAGGGGCUACUUUCUAGUGGCAGUUCACAAGCCUCUCAUUGCUGUAGAUUUUCUUGCUACAGAGCACAGGUUCUAGGGCACACAGGCUUCAAUAUUUGCUGGCACAUGGGCUCAAUAGUUGAGGCUCCUAAGCUCUAGAGCACAGGCUCUAUAGAUGUGGUGCAUGGGCCUGUUUCACUGAGGCAUGUGUGAUGAGACGGUUGGGUGGCACCACCGACUCAAUGGACAUGGGUUUGAACAAACUUCAGGAAAUAGUGAAGGACAGGGAAGACUGGAGUGCUGCAGUCCAUGGGGUAGCAAAGAGUCAGAGAACAACAACAAGAGGGCUCUGGGUUAUCACCAAUAAGCUAGGCCUAUGAUUUUGGCCAUGUCAUCAGAUUCAUCUCAUUUGUGAAUAAAGAGAUACCACUAGA